rnacentral:misc_RNA from 1 species
GAAAUGCGAUAAUUAAUGUGAAUUGCAGAAUUCAGUGAAUCAUCGAGUCUUUGAACACACAUUGCGCCCCCUGGUAUUCCGGGGGGCAUGCCUAUCCGAGCGUCAUUGCUGCCCUCAAGCACGGCUUGUGUGUUGGGCUUCCGUCCCUGGCAACGGGGACGGGCCCAAAAGGCAGUGGCGGCACCAUGUCUGGUCCUCGAGCGUAUGGGGCUUUGUCACCCGCUCCCGUAGGUCCAGCUGGCAGCUAGCCUCGCAACCAAUCUUUUUAACCAGGUUGACCUCGGAUCAGGUAGGGAUACCCGCUGAACUUAAGC